rnacentral:tRNA from 2 species
ACUGCAACUUAGUUUAUUUAGAACAGUUAACUUGCACUUAGCAAGAGAGUUAUCUCAGUAGC